rnacentral:tRNA from 1 species
UUAAUUGAAACCAAAUCAGAGGUGUAUUACUGUUAAUAAUAUUAUUGAAAGCCAUUUCCAAUUAAA